AUGCAAUCCCCUCGGGGCAAAGACACCCACCAGGGUCGCCAGAGCUGCCGUGGAGACGGGAAGUCACGCCAGGUCUCGGAGCCCAGCCAAGAGGAACCAGAGCAGACGGGCCAAACCCAGCGGCCGGCUCCCGGGUGGGUGGUGGCGCUGGGGGGAGGCGCCUGGGCAGCAUCGCCAACAGCUGGGAACCCACCUGGCGCCGGAAGGGUGGCGGCAAACGCGGGGCUUUCCCGGAAACCCUGGGCAGGGCCCCGCGGUCCCAUGGGUGCCGGAACCGGCCCUGCGGGUGUUCCCAGAAACCCUCCCGCGGGAAGACCACUCCGCGGCCGGAGGGAUGGCUCCGUCGAGGGAAGCCACCGCCUUUUCUCCGGGGCUCGCCUUCCCUACCUCCCGGAGGAGCCAGUCUGGCGGGAAGCGCCCCAGCCCACGGCUGCCCGCAGCAGAGCAGGAUUCCCUCCCCAGAGGCCACGGCUGUCAAGGGACGGGGAAGACUUUGUUACCCCACCGCGCGCCACCCGCGGAAUGGUGCACAGACACCUCCAGACGCCGCAUCCCCCAGGACGCCUGACUGGGCCCGCUCUGCCCACCUCUCCCUGGACGCUGCGCGGUGGGCGGAUGGGGUCGGCCCUGCUUCCCCUCGACGCCCCAGACGCGCCCCGAGGCGCUUUCGGAGCACAGUGGAGUGGGAAGGGCGGGGCGGCCCCUCUGCGUCGCCCAGGCGAGAGCUGCUCACCGGACUUCCCAGGCCCUGACCUCGGGGGACGCCUAUCCGCCAAGUACCCGGAGGAGGACAGUGACCACCGGCCUGCGCCGGAAAGGGACUCGGCGCCUGCCCCGCAGGGCCAGCCCGAGGACCCGCAGGCGCGGAAGGCGGGGCUGAGGCGGGAGCGGGGCGGGGCGGGACCGCCCUCGCCUCCGCCUGCCGGAGCCCACAGCUGCCUCGCUCCCCGCCUCCGAAUCCGUCGCUCCGCUCAGCCCCCAGGCGCCCACCGGAAGCUUUUCCCCUCCCCGCCUAUCCGGCCUCCUCUUCGCCUAUCGUCGCCAAUGACC
rnacentral:lncRNA from 1 species